AUGCAAGUCGAACGCGGAAAGUUUCCUUCGGGAGACCGGUAGAGUGGCGCACGGCCUUUUUAACACGUGGGUAAUUUACCUUUGGGUGGGGAAUAACAGUCGGAAACGACUGCGUAAUACCGCAUAAUGCAGCGGCAGCUCAUGCUGACAGUUGUUAAAGCGGGGGAUCUGCAAAGACCUCGCGCCUAAAGAGAAGCCCGCGGCGGAUUAGCUAGUUGGUGAGGUAAUGGCUCACCAAGGCGUCGAUCCGUAGCCGGCCUGAGAGGGCGGUCGGCCGCACUGACACUGAAUAACGGAUCAGACUCCUACGGGAGGCAGCAGUCGGGAAUUUUGGGCAAUGGGCGCAAGCCUGACCCAGCAACGCCGCGUGAAGGAUGAAAUCUUUCGGGAUGUAAACUUCACAAGAACGGGAAGAAUAAGUAAGUGUAAAUAUCACUUAUGAUGACGGUACUGUUUGUAAGCUCCGGCUAACUCCGUGCCAGCAGCCGCGGUAAUACGGGGGGAGCAAGCGUUGUUCGGAUUUACUGGGCGUAAAGGGCGCGUANGCGGCNCAACAAGUCACUUGUGAAAUCUUCAGGCUUAACCUGAAGCGGCCAAGUGAUACUGUCGUGCUANAGUGCGGAAGGNGCAACUGGAAUUCUUGNUGUANCGGUGAAAUGCGUAGAUAUCAAGAGGAACACCUGCGGCGAANGCGGNUUGCUGGGCCNACACUGACNCUGAGGCGCGAAAAGCUAGGGGAGNGAACGGGNAUUAGAUACCCCCGGNAGUCCUAGCCCUUAAACGAUGAAUGCCUUGGUGUCCGAGGUUANAUAGUCCUCGGGUGCCGU
rnacentral:rRNA from 1 species